UACGAAGGGUGCGAGCGUUGUUCGGAAUCACUGGGCGUAAAGGGCGCGCAGGCGGCUUGGCAAGUCGGGUGUGAAAUCCCGGGGCUCAACCCCGGGACUGCAUUCGAUACUGUCAGGCUAGAGGUAGGUAGGGGAGAUCGGAAUUCCUGGUGUAGCGGUGAAAUGACGCAGAUAUCAGGAGGAACACCGGUGGCGAAGGCGGAUCUCUGGGCCUUACCUGACGCUCAGGCGCGAAAGCUAGGGGAGCGAACAGG
rnacentral:rRNA from 1 species